rnacentral:rRNA from 1 species
GAUGAACGCUGGCGGUAUGCUUAACACAUGCAAGUCGAACGGACUCUUCGGAGUUAGUGGCGGACGGGUGAGUAACGCGUGAGAAUCUGGCUUUGGGUUCGGGACAACCACUGGAAACGGUGGCUAAUACCGGAUGUGCCGAGAGGUAAAAGAGAAAUUGCCUGGAGUUGAGCUCGCGUCUGUUUAGCCAGUUGGUGAGGUAAAGGCCCACCAAGGCAGCGAUCAGUAGCAGGUCUGAGAGGAUGAACAGCCACACAGGGACUGAGACACGGCCGAGACGCCUACGGGAGGCAGCAGUGGGGAAUUUUCCGGAAAGGGCGAAAGCCUGACGGAGCAAUACCGCGUGAGGGAAGAAGGCUCUUGGGUUGUAAACCUCUUUUCUUAGGGAAGAACAAAAUGACGGUACCUAAGGAAUAAGCAUCGGCUAACUCCGUG